UGAUUUUUAAGGAUGGCAAUUAUGUGGCACACUUGCCACUACUCUUCCCCCUUGUACCCAUGGCAGACAUUAGUAAUUAAUCAUGGCCCUCAUUUCCUCUAGGCUCAGAUGUGAGGUCUCAGAAUCCUUUUCCAUGCAUGUUCCUGGAAGCCACUGAGAAUUGACUGGGAAGUGGGGAGCACACCAGAUGAAACAUACACGCCACUUCUGGUUGGGUCUUUUAUCCCCAGCCUCAGUUGAACAGGCUUCAGUUCACAUCGUUUUAGCCAAAACUGAUUUAUGCACAGUCUUUUCAGAACAGAUUAGGGUAGAAUUUUGUGGUGUUUUUUUGUGACGAAAAUAACCUUAGUAAUUUUGUUUUUGUUUUGGUAACUCAGGACAACUCACACCCCCUGGUUGUCCUGAUUUUUUAUUUAAAUGCUGAGUUUAAGUGCUUGUGCAGUUGGUUUCUUGAACUGAACAGCACACUUUACAUUUAUUCUAUUGCAUGUCAUUGUCUUUUUAUUCUAAGCAAGAGGUCAGCAAAUUAUGGCCCACAGGCCAAAUCUAGCUCACCAUCUGUUUUUGUAAAUAAAGUUUUAUUGGAACACA
rnacentral:lncRNA from 1 species